AACAGGCAAUAACUUCAAGCUCUUGUGGUAGAUGUAGAUUUUUGCUACAAGGAAAAAACAUGUGAGACAAGCUGAGUACAAUUUAUGCUGCAGUGUGUCCUACAGCAACUGAGAUGUCGUACUGCACAAUACUGAAGGCCAAGAGCUGCUUCCUAAGAAGGAAAUCCUAAGCCAGGUGGUCACCUUCCUUCCACGUGGGCAGGGCCGGGGAGCCCCAGCACAGCCCACCUUGUCCUCCAGCAGCCAGCCUGCCUCAGAGCUCAGAAACAGCCUUCUGGGAAGACACUGCAGAGGUAAAGUGAUCAUGAGGCCCAGUCCUUCAAAUAUUGAGGAGGAGAAAAAUGAAGGGUCUUCGAUUCCUGUGAAAAAGAAGUCAGGAAACCAUAGUACUAUCUAGAAG